ACUUGCUUUCUUUGCUGGCGACCGGCGCACGGGUGAGUAACACGUAUCCAACCUGCCCUUUACUCGGGGAUAGCCUUUCGAAAGAAAGAUUAAUACCCGAUGGCAUAGUUCUUCCGCAUGGUGGAACUAUUAAAGAAUUUCGGUCAUCGAUGGGGAUGCGUUCCAUUAGGUUGUUGGCGGGGUAACGGCCCACCAAGCCUUCGAUGGAUAGGGGUUCUGAGAGGAAGGUCCCCCCACAUUGGAACUGAGACACGGUCCAAACUCCUACGGGAGGCAGCAUG
rnacentral:rRNA from 1 species